ACCGGCAGCUCAAGUGGUGGCCAUUAUUAUUGGGCUUAAAGCGUUCGUAGCUGGAUUGUUAAGUCUCUGGGGAAAUCCUUCGGCUUAACAGGUAGGCGUGUUAGAGAUACUGGCAGUCUAGGGAUCGGAAGAGGUUAGUGGUACUCCCAGGGUAGGGGUGAAAUCCUAUAAUCCUUGGGGGACCACCUGUGGCUAAGGCGUCUCACCGGGACGGCCCCGACGGUGAGGAACGAAAGCUAGGGGCGCAAACCG
rnacentral:rRNA from 1 species